AGGGUUUGUGGUAUGUCCCUUCACCCUAUUUUUCCUAGCAGAAUACACCAACAUCAUCAUAAUGAACAUCCUCAAUCUUAUUUUUCGGAGCAUUCCACAGCCCAUAUUUACCAGAAUUAUACAGAGUCAACUUUACUGU